AUUGAACGCUGGCGGCGUGCUUAACACAUGCAAGUCGAACGCGAACGGGGCUUCGGCCCCAAGUAGAGUGGCGCACGGGUGAGUAACGCGUGGACAAUCUGCCCUUAUGACUGGAAUAACAGUUGGAAACGGCUGCUAAUACCGGAUACGCUCAGGAAGAACUUUUUUGAGGAAAGGCGGCCUCUGCUUGCAAGCUGUCGCAUAAGGAUGAGUCCGCGUCCCAUUAGCUAGUUGGCGGGUAACGGCCCACCAAGGCAACGAUGGGUAGCCGAUUUGAGAGGAUGAUCGGCCACACUGGGACUGAACACGGCCCAGACUCCUACGGGAGGCAGCAGUGGGGAAUAUUGCGCAAUGGGCGAAAGCCUGACGCAGCGACGCCGCGUGAGGGAUGAAGGUUUUUCCGGAUCGUAAACCUCUGUCAGAAGGGAAGAAACUGCCGUGCUCUAAUCAUCAUGGCAUUGACGGUACCUUCAAAGGAAGCACCGGCUAACUCCGUGCCAGCAGCCGC
rnacentral:rRNA from 1 species